CCUGCUCCUAGAGACGUUGCCGGUAUGGCUGCUGUUCCACAUGUGUGUCAGUAGGUGGCAGAGAGGAGAGAGGAUUACAACUAUGCUUCCUGUUCUGACCUGUGAACAUCUGAAUGAUUAGUAGCCUAACAUU